CUAGUGGACACGGUGUUAAUCUUGCACUCAACUGGCUUUCAGACAUUAAAAGGGAUCAAAGUGGAUGUGCUCAGAUGAAGAAAGGAGGAGAACUUGUGGCUACUGGUUGCUCCACACUCCUGCACUGGGUCUGUGAAAAACAAGCAGACCUUGAUAUUUUCCUUGAGUAUCCUGGAAGAAUACUGCUUUCUCUGGUGGCAAUGGCUCAAUAUAGUACCCUAACUGAAGCAAAAUUCUACUGCAUGAUCAAAGCUCAGUGUACAGGAAUAAGUAGUUGGC
rnacentral:lncRNA from 1 species